GACGAACGCUGGCGGCGUGCCUAAUACAUGCGAGUUGAGCGCUGAAGGUUGGUACUUGUACCAACUGGAUGAGCAGCGAACGGGUGAGUAACGCGUGGGGAAUCUGCCUUUGAGCGGGGGACAACAUUUGGAAACGAAUGCUAAUACCGCAUAAAAACUUUAAACACAAGUUUUAAGUUUGAAAGAUGCAAUUGCAUCACUCAAAGAUGAUCCCGCGUUGUAUUAGCUAGUUGGUGAGGUAAAGGCUCACCAAGGCGAUGAUACAUAGCCGACCUGAGAGGGUGACCGGCCACAUUGGGACUGAGACACGGCCCAAACUCCUACGGGAGGCAGCAGUAGGGAAUCUUCGGCAAUGGACGAAAGUCUGACCGAGCAACGCCGCGUGAGUGAAGAAGGUUUUCGGAUCGUAAAACUCUGUUGGUAGAGAAGAACGUUGGUGAGAGUGGAAAGCUCAUCAAGUGACGGUAACUACCCAGAAAGGGACGGCUAACUACGUG
rnacentral:rRNA from 1 species